UGCGGGGUCGUUUAACGGUAGGACGCUCGGCUCUGGACCGAGUAACGGAGGUUCGAUCCCUUCUCCCGCAG
rnacentral:tRNA from 1 species